GUGCUCGCUUCAGCAGCACAUAUACCAAAAUUAGAACGAUACAAAAAAGAUUAGCAAGUCCCCUGCACAAGGAUGACAAGUAAAAUUCUGUACUAUACAUUAAAUGG